rnacentral:lncRNA from 1 species
CAGCCUCCAGCUGCUGGAGACAGGUCUACAGACGAUUCUGCAAGGAGCCUGCUGACCUGGCCUUCAGAUGUGAUCCCAUGGGAGGUAGCAGACCUCGUGGUGGGCUGUAUGUCCACCUGGGACACUGGCUGGCUCUCCAGCCCUGCUUCACUUCACCCCAACCUGCAAGAGGGCACCACCAGGGGCUCUGCAAAGCACUGGGCUCUGUGAGGCCACCUUCAGACCCAGCGCACCCUUGCCAGCAGGCAGCUCUUGGCUGACAUCAGCGCAGAACUACAGGGGCCACCUUGACUGACAGCUGUGGCAUCCAAUGACACCACUUGCUGGGCAAGUCCUUUGAUCAUUCUGAAGCUCAGGCCUGUAACACGGAAAUGAGACCCGCCCCACCUCUUUCUGUGGGUUGCUGUCAAAAUCAAAUGGGAUCAUAGAAGUGCUUUGAAAAAGAAAAAGCAAUAUUCAAAUAUAAAAUGCUAGAUUACCUUUUUUUUUUUUUUUGUGAAGGUUGUCAGGGCCCAAACAAAAAAGAUUUUUCAGUUUUACCAUUUAAUAAUAAAUCAAGUCUAUCAGAAGCUUGAUAACA